UGUCAGCACAAGGAGGCAGACAUGGGACGUGCAUACUCUCUUAAUGUCCUGGUAGUCGGUGCAGCGUUUGUGUUCGUGGCUUCCAUGCUCUUUAUCUGAGCGCCACAAUCUCUCCGCAUCGGGACAUAUCUGGCAUCCGUGACACCUGUAUGACAGUUUGGCCUCUCGAAAACGCAGCUCCCCUGGGCUGCGUUUU
rnacentral:sRNA from 1 species